rnacentral:misc_RNA from 1 species
GAUGAAGAACGUAGCGAAAUGCGAUAAGUAAUGUGAAUUGCAGAAUUCAGUGAAUCAUCGAAUCUUUGAACGCCCAUUGCGCCCCCUGGCAUUCCGGGGGGCAUGCCUGUUCGAGCGUCAUUACAACCCUCAAGCUCUGCUUGGUAUUGGGCUCUGCUGGGACCGGCAGGCCUUAAAAUCAGUGGCGGCGCCACUCGGCUUCAAGCGUAGUAAUUCUUCUCGCUUCGGAGACCCGGGUGCGUGCUAGCCAGCAACCCCCAACUUUCUUAGGUUGACCUCGGAUCAGGUAGGGAUACCCGCUGAACUUAAGCAUAUCAAUAAGCGGAGGA